AACGCACAUUGCGCCCCCUGGCAUUCCGGGGGGCAUGCCUGUUCGAGCGUCAUUUCAACCCUCAAGCACUGCUUGGUGUUGGGCCUCGCCGGAGACGGCGGGCCCUAAAAUCAGUGGCGGCGCCGCUGGGCCCUGAGCGUAGUAAUUCUCUCGCUACAGGCCCCCGCGUGCUCCCGCCAGAACCCCCCAAUUUUUCUAUGGUUGACCUCGGAUCAGGUAGGGAUACCCGCUGAACUUAA
rnacentral:misc_RNA from 2 species